UACGAAGGGGGCUAGCGUUGCUCGGAAUCACUGGGCGUAAAGCGCACGUAGGCGGAUCUCUAAGUCAGGGGUGAAAUCCUGGAGCUCAACUCCAGAACUGCCUUUGAUACUGGGGAUCUCGAGUCCGGGAGAGGUGAGUGGAACUCCGAGUGUAGAGGUGAAAUUCGUAGAUAUUCGGAAGAACACCAGUGGCGAAGGCGGCUCACUGGCCCGGUACUGACGCUGAGGUGCGAAAGCGUGGGGAGCAAACAGG
rnacentral:rRNA from 1 species